GAGACAUCAGUAGCCGCGGUAAUACAGAGGGUGCAAGCGUUAAUCGGAAUUACUGGGCGUAAAGCGCGCGUAGGUGGUUUGUUAAGUUGGAUGUGAAAUCCCCGGGCUCAACCUGGGAACUGCAUCCAAAACUGGCAAGCUAGAGUAUGGUAGAGGGUGGUGGAAUUUCCUGUGUAGCGGUGAAAUGCGUAGAUAUAGGAAGGAACACCAGUGGCGAAGGCGACCACCUGGACUGAUACUGACACUGAGGUGCGAAAGCGUGGGGAGCAAACAGGAUUAGAUACCCCAGUAGUCCCUGUCUCUUAUAC
rnacentral:rRNA from 1 species